GUGUCAGCAGCCGCGGUAAUACGUAGGGUGCGAGCGUUAAUCGGAAUUACUGGGCGUAAAGCGUGCGCAGGCGGUUUUGUAAGCCAGACGUGAAAUCCCCGGGCUUAACCUGGGAAUGGCGUUUGGGACUGCAAGGCUUGAGUAUGGCAGAGGGGACUAGAAUUCCUGGUGUAGCAGUGAAAUGCGUAGAUAUCAGGAGGAAUACCGAUGGCGAAGGCAGGUCCCUGGGUUAAUACUGACGCUCAUGCACGAAAGCGUGGGGAGCAAACAGGAUUAGAAACCCUCGUAGUCC
rnacentral:rRNA from 1 species